AUGCACGGGCUGGGCGGCCACGUUCGAGCAUGGGGAGGUGCGCGUAGGGCGGCGCAGCAUGGCUGUGUCGGGGAGGACGCGGAUCUAGCAGCUCUGAGGAGGGUCGCUUCGGGCCAGGGGCCUCGAUUUCGCGGCGACGGCUCGGGUGCGCGGGAUCCGACGCUGGAGGGAGCGAGGCGGCACGCAAGGGCUACGGCGGGCGUGGCCGCGCUGGGGCGCGAGGGGGCAGCCAAGUGCUGGCGGGCUGGAUCUGCUAGGCUAUCCGCGGCUGCCGGCCCGGAAGGGGCAUUGCCGGCUGGUGGUGGUGCCCGCUUGUCGCUUGUAGGAGCACGGAGGCUCCGACUGCGGUUGGAUGCGGGGCGCAGGACCCGAUCUAGUCUCUGCAGGCCCGUCGUCUGGGAGGCUUGCUGGUGGCCCUGCACAUCGGUGGCGUGCUUGCUAUGUGCAGGGUGCGCGGUCCAAUGGAGGUACGGGUCGACCUCGGCCUACUGCAUGGGAGUGGCUGCUCCGGGUGAAAGCCUGGCCGGUGCUGGCCGGCCGGCGGCGACGGCGCCUGUGGGCAUCGCUAUCCUCCUUGCAGGCGUCGUCGGGGAUCUCACAACCACUGCUCCCGGAUCAAGCCCUUCGGGUGAAAGCCCAGAUCCUGUUGCAGGGUUGGCGGUGGUGUCGUCUUCAACGUUGUUCCCCUCUUUAGGGCGCCGCCUUGAAGACUUUGAUCCCUUUGGUGCUUCCUACAACUCGACGUGCACGGUGGCUUCUGUGGCAACGAUGACGGCGGUGAGCAAUGUCGGAGGCGUGACCUUGGUCAUGGUAGUCGGCCCUUCUUCUCUGUCUGUUGUUGUGAAGUCGAAGCCAUGGUGGGGCCGAUGGUAUACGAUGAUGCGAGACAGGUGGCUCGGUCGGUGA
rnacentral:rRNA from 1 species